UCGUGUAUGGUGUAACGGCUAACAUUACCGCCUUUCACUGGAAAUUGAACACAAUUCAAGCCAGCGCGGUAGCUCGGGGUUCGAUUCCCCGUACGCGAA